rnacentral:rRNA from 1 species
CCUACGGGUGGCAGCAGUGAGGAAUAUUGGUCAAUGGGCGAGAGCCUGAACCAGCCAAGUCGCGUGAAGGAUGACGGCCCUACGGGUUGUAAACUUCUUUUGUCAGGGAGCAAUUGGCUCCACGCGUGGGCUCAGCGAGAUUACCUGAAGAAAAAGCAUCGGCAAACUCCGUGCCAGCAGCCGCGGUCAUACGGGGGAUGCGAGCGUUAUCCGGAUUUAUUGGGUUGAACGGGUGCGUAGGCGGAAGACUAAGUCAGCGGGAAAACUUCGGGGCUCAACCCCGUCGUGCCGGUGAAACUGGUGUUCGUGAGUGGGCGAGAAGUAUGCGGAAUGCGUGGUGUAGCGGUGAAAUGCAUAGAUAUCACGCAGAACUCCGAUUGCGAAGGCAGCAUACCGGCGCCCAACUGACGCUGAUGCACGAAAGCGUGGGUAUCGAACAGGAUUAGAUACCCCAGUAGUC